GGGGAAUGCCUUGGCUCUCAGAGGCGAAGAAGGACGUGUUAAGCUGCGAAAAGCUGCGGGGAGUUGCACAAAAGCUGUGAUCCGCAGAUAUCCGAAUGGGGCAACCCAGCUGGUUGAAGACCAGUUACCAUUUAAUGGAGCGAACCCGGGGAACUGAAACAUCUAAGUACCCGGAGGAAGAGAAAACAAUAGUGAUUCCCUAAGUAGUGGCGAGCGAACGGGGGACAGCCCAAACCG
rnacentral:rRNA from 1 species